AGAGUUUGAUCAUGGCUCAGGACGAACGCUGGCGGCGUGCCUAAUACAUGCAAGUCGAACGAGAAUUUCUUACACCGAGUGCUUGCACUCACCGUAAGAAAUUUGAGUGGCGGACGGGUGAGUAACACGUGGGUAACCUGCCCAAAAGAAGGGGAUAACAUUUGGAAACAAAUGCUAAUACCGUAUAACCAUGAUGACCGCAUGGUCAUUAUGUAAAAGGUGGUUUUGCUAUCGCUUUUGGAUGGACCCGCGGCGUAUUAACUAGUUGGUAGGGUAACGGCCUACCAAGGUGAUGAUACGUAGCCGAGUUGAGAGACUGAUCGGCCACAAUGGGACUGAGACACGGCCCAUACUCCUACGGGAGGCAGCAGUAGGGAAUCUUCCACAAUGGGCGCAAGCCUGAUGGAGCAACGCCGCGUGAAUGAAGAAGGUCUUCGGAUCGUAAAAUUCUGUUGUUAGAGAAGAAUAUGAGUAAUAGUAACUGAUUAUUCACUGACGGUAUCUAACCAGCAAGUCACGGCUAACUACGUGCCAGCAGCCGCGGUAAUACGUAGGUGGCAAGCGUUGUCCGGAUUUAUUGGGCGUAAAGGGAACGCAGGCGGUUUUUUAAGUCUGAUGUGAAAGCCUUCGGCUUAACCGGAGGUGUGCAUUGGAAACUGGAAGACUUGAGUGCAGAAGAGGAGAGUGGAACUCCAUGUGUAGCGGUGAAAUGCGUAGAUAUAUGGAAGAACACCAGUGGCGAAAGCGGCUCUCUGGUCUGUAACUGACGCUGAGGUUCGAAAGCAUGGGUAGCGAACAGGAUUAGAUACCCUGGUAGUCC
rnacentral:rRNA from 1 species